CACGUAGGGUGCGAGCGUUGUCCGGAAUUAUUGGGCGUAAAGAGCUCGUAGGCGGUGUGUCGCGUCGGCCGUGAAAACCUGCAGCUUAACUGUGGGCUUGCGGUCGAUACGGGCAUCACUGGAGUUCGGCAGGGGAGACUGGAAUUCCUGGUGUAGCGGUGAAAUGCGCAGAUAUCAGGAGGAACACCGGUGGCGAAGGCAGCUCGCUGGGACGGUACUGACG
rnacentral:rRNA from 1 species